UGGGUAGUCCGCACGAGCGCACCUUACUUUUAGUUGCUACCAUUUAGUUGGGCACUCUAAAAGAACUGCCAGUGAUAAGCUGGAGGAAGGUGGGGAUGACGUCAAGUCCUCAUGGCCCUUACGUGUUGGGCUACACACGUGCUACAAUGGUACACACAAUAGGAUGCAAAGAGGCGACUCCUAGCUAAUCCUAAAAAUGUACCUCAGUUCGGAUUGUACUCUGCAACUCGAGUGCAUGAAGCUGGAAUUGCUAGUAAUCGCGGAUCAGCGCGCCGCGGUGAAUACGUUCCCGGGUCUUGUACACACCGCCCGUCACACCAUGGAAGUUGGUUACACCUUAAGGCAAAGUGUAAAAUCUUUGACUACGGUACGAUCAGCGACUGGGGUGAAGUCGUAACAAGGUAGCCGUAGGGGAACCUGCGGCUGGAUCACCUCCUUUCU
rnacentral:rRNA from 1 species